rnacentral:lncRNA from 1 species
GGACUCACAUUCCCUAAAUACUAAUGGCAGGGAUUUGCUGUGCCCCGUGGCUCAGUUAAGUUCUGCUCCCCAGCUCUGCCAUCAUCUGCCUUUGCCUGAAGGUGGUACCAGGAUGGCUCUCUGCAAGGAUUCCCACCAGGAAUGCCAAAGCCAGAGACUUAGGGACCAAAGGACCCAGAAGGGAGAUCUGAAAAAUUCCUGCUUAGGGGCGGGUCCUGGAGGCUCUGAUUUUUCUGGGUAUUGAGGGACCCAAACUCAACCAG